rnacentral:snoRNA from 1 species
UCUCAUGAUGCACGUAAUUUGCGAUUGAACUUUUGCCUGCGAAGCUCUCGCCUGAGCUCUCGAUACAGCACGAAGGAGAUGAGAAUUUUUCUUACAUAUUCUGAAU